rnacentral:lncRNA from 1 species
CACUUAAUCUUUCAAAGUGAUGUUGAGGUGUGUCAUGGAAAUAUGAUGAAUUUUAAAGCCAUGACAAUGUGCUUAUAAUGCAAAUUUAUAAAGUACAUAUAAAUAAUUAGUCCAAUCCUUGAAGAGAAUGUGACUUGUAAUGAGUAUCGUGAAUGCUCGACCAUUCUAUAAGAGAAUGGGUUCAGAUGUGAUAAAAUCAUUAUGGGUUGGAUAUAUGUCACAACUCACCUCUAUAGAAGGUUUGAGAAAAAAAAUGAUACAUGUCACUUCUCAUCUCUACGGGAGAUUUGAGAGGAAAUAAAUUUUAUUUGGUAGAAAUGACUAAUUGUAUUGUACGUUUUAUACGUCACUAUGAUAUAAACUACCAAAAGGGC